CAACAACUGUGAAUUUCUUUUGUUAGCCUGGCACCUAUUAUUAGGUCACUACUCCUGUAGCUAUUGUUACACUAGUAACAGUAACCGCCUAUUAGAUAUUAUCAGAUGUGUGGUAUCCUGUCUAAGUCUUUGUUUAUAUGAGACUAGCACCAAAUGAGUAUACAGCUAUCAAGACAGUUUUAAUUCAAGAGCAUAGGGGAAGGGUACAGAGUGUAGAAGAAUCUGAUUGAGGAAGAAUACGUCUUCAAAUGGUUCAACGCAACUCAGACGGAGGUUAAGAAGGUUAUCACAGUAAAGUUGAACAAUGUGCAAAAGACUUAUCACAGUAAAAUUGAACAAUGUGCAAAAGACUUUUGUCUGAAUUUCUUCAAUUAUUAAGUGACUAAAGCAGUAUGCUGACAAUGGACACGGUCUGGCCAAGGGAGUUUUUAGCCACUUAUUCUGGCAGGAGUUCGAACUCACAGAAGAAAAAGACAGUGACGCCACAGCUUGACAAGACAUAUUGGAUACUUGUGAUAACUUUUAGAACUUAUAAUUAAAAAGCAGUAGCAACACCAUUAAAUUUGCAAAAAUCUAUGAAACAAUUCUCUAGUAAGCUGGAUGCAUAUCAUACUGUGGAAUAUGUACAUACAUUUAUACAUAUUGAAUAAAGAAUGUAAACAUGA